rnacentral:rRNA from 1 species
AGGACGAACGCUGGCGGCGUGCUUAACACAUGCAAGUCGAGCGGUAAGGCCCUUUCGGGGGUACACGAGCGGCGAACGGGUGAGUAACACGUGAGCAAUCUGCCCUUCACUUCGGGAUAAGCCUCGGAAACGGGAUCUAAUACCGGAUAUGACCGCGCUACGCAUGUGGUGUGGUGGAAAGUUCUGGCGGUGGAGGAUGAGCUCGCGGCCUAUCAGCUUGUUGGUGGGGUAAUGGCCUACCAAGGCUUCGACGGGUAGCCGGCCUGAGAGGGUGACCGGCCACACUGGGACUGAGACACGGCCCAGACUCCUACGGGAGGCAGCAGUGGGGAAUAUUGGACAAUGGGCGAAAGCCUGAUCCAGCAACGCCGCGUGAGGAUGACGGCCUUCGGGUUGUAAACCUCUUUCAGCGCCGACGAAGCGAGAGUGACGGUAGGCGCAGAAGAAGCACCGGCCAACACGUGCCAGCAGCCGC